rnacentral:rRNA from 1 species
CGCUAUGAGAUGGGCCCGCGGCGCAUUAGCUAGUUGGUGAGGUAACGGCUCACCAAGGCGACGAUGCGUAGCCGACCUGAGAGGGUGAUCGGCCACAUUGGGACUGAGACGCGGCCCAGACUCCUACGGGAGGCAGCAGUGGGGAAUAUUGCACAAUGGGGGAAACCCUGAUGCAGCAACGCCGCGUGAGUGAUGACGGCCUUCGGGUUGUAAAGCUCUGUCUUCAGGGACGAUAAUGACGGUACCUGAGGAGGAAGCCACGGCUAACUACGUGCCAGCAGCCGCGGUAAUACGUAGGUGGCGAGCGUUGUCCGGAUUUACUGGGCGUAAAGGGAGCGUAGGCGGAUUUUUAAGUGAGAUGUGAAAUACUCGGGCUUAACCUGAGUGCUGCAUUUCAAACUGGAAGUCUAGAGUGCAGGAGAGGAGAAGGGAAUUCCUAGUGUAGCGGUGAAAUGCGUAGAGAUUAGGAAGAACACCAGUGGCGAAGGCGCUUCUCUGG